rnacentral:rRNA from 1 species
GCGUGCGAGUCUUGGGGUGACAAACCCAUCGGCGCAAUGAAAGUGAAGGCAGAUGUUGGUCUGCUUAGGCGAGAGUCUCCUUCGGGGGACGCAUCGUCGACCGAUCCCAGGCUACGCUGUGGCGGGAUUUGAGUGAGAGCGUGCCUGUUGCGACCCGAAAGAUGGUGAACUAUGCCUGAAUAGGGUGAAGCCAGAGGAAACUCUGGUGGAAGCUCGUAGCGAUUCUGACGUGCAAAUCGAUCGUCAAAUUUGGGUAUAGGGGCGAAAGACUAAUCGAACCAUCUAGUAGCUGGUUCCCUCCGAAGUUUCCCUCAGGAUAGCUGGAGCCCGGUGCAGUUUUAUCAGGUAAAGCGAAUGAUUAGAGGUCUUGGGGUUGCAACAACUUCAACCUAUUCUCAAACUUUAAAUGGGUAAGAAGCUUGGCUUGCUCAACUGAAGUCAGGCAUUGAAUGCCGGGGCUCUUAGUGGGCCAUUUUUGGUAAGCAGAACUGGCGAUGUGGGAUGAACCAAAUGCCAGGUUAAGGUGCCCGAAUCAACGCUCAUCAGAUACCAUGAAAGGU